rnacentral:misc_RNA from 1 species
UGGCUUCCUCAUCCAGAUAGGCUUUUGCUUGUUCACCAAAUCCCACUCAUGAGACACUUCCUUGAUCUUCUUAGUUUUCUUUCCCUUCUUCUCCUCCUCUUCAUCCACUUCUUCCACUUUGCCCUCUUCAUCCUUCUUCUCCUCCUCUUCAUCCUCAUCAUCAGAGAUGACUUUCUCUAAGGUCUUCUCUACCCAAAGGGAGAUGGG